UGAGCAAUCUGCCCUUCUCAUCGGAAUAAGCGUUGGAAACGACGUCUAAUGCCGAAUACGACCUCCUUUCGCAUGAUCGGAGGUGGAAAGCUCCGGCGGAGAAGGAUGAGCUCGCGGCCUAUCAGCUUGUUGGUGAGGUAAUAGCUCACCAAGGCGAUGACGGGUAGCCGGCCUGAGAGGGUGACCGGCCACACUGGGACUGAGACACGGCCCAGACCUCUACGGGAG
rnacentral:rRNA from 1 species